rnacentral:lncRNA from 1 species
UUGCCACAAACAACAACAAUUCAACGUAGAUAACAAGGUAUGAUUACUUUGUCGCAAUAUCAAGACUACUUGUCCUUAUAAUAAAUUGGACUAUCAUAGACUUAGAUCUUUUUCUCUUAAAAAAUAAGUCAAUCCCAUUACUUAUUCAUUAUAUCUACUAGAUUUUAUGAAGAUCCACCCUAUAUUUUAUGUAUCUCUUUUUAAGAUACAUAAGACAAUAAAUAUCUUGAAAAGAAUAAAAAUGCCACUUCUUCCUAUAGAAUUAGAUAAUAAUCAAGAAUUUGA